rnacentral:rRNA from 1 species
AACCGUUAUAACCGGCGAUUUCCGAAUGGGGAAACCCAGUGUGACUCGUCACACUAUCAUUAACUGAAUCCAUAGGUUAAUGAGGCGAACCGGGGGAACUGAAACAUCUAAGUACCCCGAGGAAAAGAAAUCAACCGAGAUUCCCCCAGUAGCGGCGAGCGAACGGGGAGGAGCCCAGAGCCUGAAUCAGCAUGUGUGUUAGUGGAAGCGUCUGGAAAGGCGCGCGAUACAGGGUGACAGCCCCGUACACAAAAGCGCAUGUGCUGUGAGCUCGAUGAGUAGGGCGGGACACGUGGUAUCCUGUCUGAAUAUGGGGGGACCAUCCUCCAAGGCUAAAUACUCCUGACUGACCGAUAGUGAACCAGUACCGUGAGGGAAAGGCGAAAAGAACCCCGGCGAGGGGAGUGAAAAAGAACCUGAAACCGUGUACGUACAAGCAGUGGGAGCCCCCUUUGGGGUGUGACUGCGUACCUUUUGUAUAAUGGGUCAGCGACUUAUAUUCUGUAGCAAGGUUAACCGAAUAGGGGAGCCGGAGGGAAACCGAGUCUUAAUUGGGCGUUAAGUUGCAGGGUAUAGAC